AGGUCAAGCGUAAAAGAGCGCAAGGGGAAUGCCUUGGCAUCAGGAGCCGACGAAGGACGCGAUAAGCUGCGAAAAUCCACGGGGAGGCGCAAAUAGCCAUUGAUCCGUGGGAAUCCGAAUGGGGAAACCCACAUGUGGUAAUACGCAUGUACUAUUAAGUGAAUCCAUAGCUUAAUAGAGGGAACCCGCUGAACUGAACCAUCUAAGUAGGCGGAGGAAGAGAAAACAAACGUGAUUUCGUAAGUAGUGGUGAGCGAAAGCGAAAGAGGCUAAAGGUUCGUAGAAAUAUGAACCGGGUUACGGACUGCAAUAUUUGAAUCUGAGUAUAGUCGAAUGUCUUGGGAAAGACGACCAAAGAGAGUGAGAGUCUCGUAGGCGAAAUACGAAGAGGAGAUAGCAGGAUCCAGAGUACCGCGGGGCACGUGGAAUCGCCGUGGGAAGAUAGGGGGACCACCCUCUAAGCCUAAAUACUACCUGAUGACCGAUAGAGGAGAAGUACCGAGAGGGAAAGGUGAAAAGAACCCAAAGUAUGGGAGUGAAAAGAACCUGAAACCUUGCGUUUACAAGCACUCAAAGCACGUUAAGGUGCGAUGAGGUACUUUUUGUAGAACGGUCCGGCGAGUUGCUAUAGUUAGCGAGGUUAAGGUAUUACGUACCGGAGCCGAAGGGAAACCGAGUGUGAAUAGCGCGUCUAGUUAGAUAUAGCAGACCCGAAACCGGGUGACCUACCCAUGAACAGGUUGAAGUGAGGGUAAAGCCUCAUGGAGGACCGAACCGACCCCCGUUGCAAUGUUGGCGGAUGAUUUGUGGGUAGCGGAGAAAUUCCAAACGAACCCGGAGAUAGCUGGUUCUCCCCGAAAUAGCUUUAGGGCUAGCGUUUUGACAGAUUACCGGAGGUAGAGCACUGAAUGGGCUAGGGGCAGAUAAUGUUACUGAACCCUAUCAAACUUCGAAUGCCGGCUAAUUGAUUCAAGGCAGUCAGACUAUGUGAGAUAAGUUUCAUAGUCAAAAGGGAAACAGCCCAGACCCGCAGCUAAGGUCCCAAAUGUAUGCUAAGUGGAAAAGGAUGUAUGAUCGCGAAGACAACCAGGAUGUUGGCUUAGAAGCAGCCACACAUUAAAAGAGUGCGUAAUAGCUCACUGGUCGAGUGGUCGUGCGCCGAAGAUAUAACGGGGCUAAGCAUACAACCGAAGCACGGGCAACGCGAGAGCGUUGGGUAGGGGAGCGUCGUACAGUAGGGCGAAGCAUCAGCGGAAGCAGGUGUGGACGAGGUACGAGAGAGAAUGCCGGAAUGAGUAACGAGAAUUAUGUGGGAAUCAUAAUGGUCGAAAAUCUGAGGUUUCCUGGGGAAGGUUCGUCCGCCCAGGGUAAGCCGGGAGCUAAGGCGAGGCCGAAAGGCGUAGUCGAUGCACAUACAGUAGAUAUUCUGUAGCCACCGACAAUUUAAGCACAAGGGACGCUUUGAGAUAGGUUAACCCAUGCGAUGGUAGACAUGGGCGAAAGGGAACGAAAUAUAGUAGUGAAGUAACCGAUGCUUGGAGACGAGAAAAGCUUGUGUGUAUACUAAGGUGCCCGUACCGCAAACCGACACAGGUAGAUGAGGAGAGAAUCCUAAGACCAACGGGAGAAGGGUUGUCAAGGAACUCGGCAAGUUGACCACGUAACUUCGGGAGAAGUGGUGCCAGAGAAAUCUGGUCGCAGAGAAAAGGCCCAGGCGACUGUUUAACAAAAACACAGGUCUCUGCAAAAUCGAAAGAUGAAGUAUAGGGGCUGACGCCUGCCCGGUGCUGGAAGGUUAAGAGGAGAUGUCAUCGCAAGAGAAGCAUUGAAUUGAAGCCCCAGUAAACGGCGGCCGUAACUAUAACGGUCCUAAGGUAGCGAAAUUCCUUGUCAGGUAAGUUCUGACCCGCACGAAUGGCGUAACGAUCUGGGCACUGUCUCGACAGCCCACCCGGUGAAAUUGAAGUACUGGUGAAGAUGCCAGUUACCCGCAACUAGACGGAAAGACCCCAUGGAGCUUUACUCUAGCCUAAUAUUGAGUUUCGAUAUUACAUGUAUAGGAUAGGUGGGAGCCAGGGAAGCAUCGGCGUCAGCUGGUGUGGAGGCGCACUUGGAAUACCACUCUUGUGAUAUUGGGAUUCUAACCUGCACCCGUGAAUCCGGGUGGGGGACAUUGUUAGGUGGGGAGUUUGACUGGGGCGGUCGCCUCCGAAAGAGUAACGGAGGCGCUCAAAGGUUGGCUCAGCACGGACGGAAAUCGUGCAUAGAGCGUAAACGCAGAAGCCAGCCUGACUGCGAGAGAGACAUUUCGAGCAGGUACGAAAGUAGGAGUUAGUGAUCCGGCGGUAAGUGAGUGGAAAUGCCGUCGCUUAACGGAUAAAAGCUACCCUGGGGAUAACAGGCUGAUCUCCCCCAAGCGUUCACAGCGACGGGGAGGUUUGGCACCUCGAUGUCGGCUCGUCACAUCCUGGGGCUGAAUUCGGUCCCAAGGGUUCGGCUGUUCGCCGAUUAAAGUGGCACGCGAGCUGGGUUCAGAACGUCGUGAGA
rnacentral:rRNA from 1 species